rnacentral:rRNA from 1 species
UACGGAGGGUGCGAGCGUUGUCCGGAAUCAUUGGGCGUAAAGCGCACGUAGGCGGCUUCAAAAGUCGGAUGUGAAAUCCCUCGGCUCAACCGAGGACGUGCAUCCGAAACUGUGAGGCUUGAGUACUGAAGAGGAUCGCGGAAUUCCCGGUGUAGAGGUGAAAUUCGUAGAUAUCGGGAGGAACACCAGUGGCGAAGGCGGCGAUCUGGGCAGAUACUGACGCUGAGGUGCGAAAGCGUGGGGAGCAAACAGG